CUCCCGUAGGCCCCCCGUGCCCCCGCCCCGCCCGCCGCGCGCGGCGGGCGACGGGGGGCACGGGGGGCCUACGGGAGGCAGCAGUGAGGAAUAUUGGACAAUGGAUGAGAGUCUGAACCAGCCAUGCCGCGUGCAGGAAGACGGCCCUAUGGGUUGUAAACUGCUUUUGUA
rnacentral:rRNA from 1 species